rnacentral:rRNA from 1 species
CAGGAUGAACGCUGGCGGCGUGCCUAACACAUGCAAGUCGAGCGGAGAUAAGUGAAGCCUAGCGAUUCUUAUCUUAGCGGCGGAUGGGUGAGUAACACGUGGGUAACCUGCCCUGUACUGGGGAAUAACAGCUGGAAACGGCUGUUAAUGCCGCAUAUGCGCACGGAGCCGCAUGACUCCGGGCGGAAAGAUUUAUCGGUACAGGAUGGGCCCGCGCCGGAUUAACUAGUUGGCGGGGUAACGGCCCACCAAGGUGAUGAUCCGUAGCCGACCUGAGAGGAUGACCGGCCACAUUGGGACUGAGACACGGCCCAAACUCCUACGGGAGGCAGCAGUGGGGGAUAUUGCACAAUGGGGGAAACCCUGGUGCAGCGACGCCGCGUGAAGGAUGACGUAUUUCGGUAUGUAAACUUCUAUCAGCGGGGAAGAAGAUGACGGUACCCGACUAAGAAGCCCCGGCUAACUACGUGCCAGCAGCCGC